rnacentral:rRNA from 1 species
CUGGGACUGAGACACGGCCCAGACUCCUACGGGAGGCAGCAGUAGGGAAUCUUCCGCANUGGACGAAAGUCUGACGNAGCAACGCCGCGUGAGUGAUGAAGGUUUUCGGAUCGUAAAACUCUGUUGUUAGGGAAGAACAAGUACCGUUCGAAUAGGGCGGUACCUUGACGGUACCUAACCAGAAAGCCACGGCUAACUACGUGCCAGCAGCCGCGGUAAUACGUAGGUGGCAAGCGUUGUCCGGAAUUAUUGGGCGUAAAGCGCGCGCAGGCGGUUUCUUAAGUCUGAUGUGAAAGCCCCCGGCUCAACCGGGGAGGGUCAUUGGAAACUGGGGAACUUGAGUGCAGAAGAGGAGAGUGGAAUUCCACGUGUAGCGGUGAAAUGCGUAGAGAUGUGGAGGAACACCAGUGGCGAAGGCGACUCUCUGGUCUGUAACUGACGCUGAGGCGCGAAAGCGUGGGGAGCGAACAGGAUUAGAUACCCUGGUAGUCCACGCCGUAAACGAUGAGUGCUAAGUGUUAGAGGGUUUCCGCCCUUUAGUGCUGCAGCAAACGCAUUAAGCACUCCGCCUGGGGAGUACGGUCGCAAGACUGAAACUCAAAGGAAUUGACGGGGGCCCGCACAAGCGGUGGAGCAUGGUGGUUUAAUUCGAAGCAACGCGAAGAACCUUACCAGGUCUUGACAUCCUCUGACAACCCUAGAGAUAGGGCUUCCCCUUCGGGGGCAGAGUGACAGGUGGUGCAUGGUUGUCGUCAGCUCGUGUCGUGAGAUGUUGGGUUAAGUCCCGCAACGAGCGCAACCCUUGAUCUUAGUUGCCAGCAUUCAGUUGGGCACUCUAAGGUGACUGCCGGUGACAAACCGGAGGAAGGUGGGGAUGACGUCAAAUCAUCAUGCCCCUUAUGACCUGGGCUAC